GACGAACGCUGGCGGCGUGCCUAAUACAUGCCAGUAGAACGCUGAAGGAGGAGCUUGCUCUUCUGGAUGAGUUGCGAACGGGUGAGUAACGCGUAGGUAACCUGCCUGGUAGCGGGGGAUAACUAUUGGAAACGAUAGCUAAUACCGCAUAACAGUAGAUGUUGCAUGACAUUUGCUUAAAAGGUGCAAUUGCAUCACUACCAGAUGGACAUGCGUUGUAUUAGCUAGUUGGUGGGGUAACGGCUCACCAAGGCGACGAUACAUAGCCGACCUGAGAGGGUGAUCGGCCACACUGGGACUGAGACACGGCCCAGACUCCUACGGGAGGCAGCAGUAGGGAAUCUUCGGCAAUGGACGGAAGUCUGACCGAGCAACGCCGCGUGAGUGAAGAAGGGUUUCGGAUCGUAAAGCUCUGUUGUAAGAGAAGAACGAGUGUGAGAGUGGAAAGUUCACACUGUGACGGUAUCUUACCAGAAAGGGACGGCUAACUACGUG
rnacentral:rRNA from 1 species